rnacentral:rRNA from 1 species
GUAGGUGGCAAGCGUUGUCCGGAAUUAUUGGGCGUAAAGCGCGCGCAGGCGGUCCUUUAAGUCUGAUGUGAAAGCCCACGGCUCAACUGUGGAGGGUCAUUGGAAACUGGGGGACUUGAGUACAGAAGAGGAAAGCGGAAUUCCAAGUGUAGCGGUGAAAUGCGUAGAGAUUUGGAGGAACACCAGUGGCGAAGGCGGCUUUCUGGUCUGUAACUGACGCUGAGGCGCGAAAGCGUGGGGAGCAAACAGGGAUUAGAUACCCUGGUAGUCCACGCCGUAAACGAUGAGUGCUAAGUGUUAGGGGGUUUCCCGCCCCUUAGUGCUGCAGCUAACGCAUUAAGCACUCCGCCUGGGGAGUACGGCCGCAAGGCUG